rnacentral:lncRNA from 1 species
UAGAACACAGGGAAUCUGGCUCCACACUGUGCUCUUAUUUGUCACACUAUGAUGGGCUAUUUCAACAAGUCCCCUAGUUAGAGGACCCAUCUGUUUGCAUCUCACUCUGGUGUGGAAGUGGAGCCACAAACUGGAUCAGGAAGCCUCAUCUCCACUACCAACAUGGGGACCUGGAGUUACGCACAUCACUCACAGGACAAUUCCAUGACCAGAGUUACCACUGAAGAGAGCCAAGACAAUGAGUGGAAUCAGACCAUGCGUGGGGCCAAGAUAAACUGGGCUAACACUCCAACUGUUCAGAAUGGCUUGGUGCCUGGACACCACCCCUGUGAACACCCAGCUCCCUAGGCCCUGCCCUGCCUUUCUGGUAGGCGAGAUUUCCCCACAUGCUACCACCCCACCAAACCACAUCUAGCAAGGCAGAAGCUUGAGUAUGUUAUGAUAUUACAGCAUUCUUAUAAUAUUUCCCUGUGUCUUCUUGAGUUUAUUUUCUUUUCAAGAAACUUUAUUUGAACAUGGUUCAAAAAUCAGAACUAUACAAAGGUGCACUGAGUAGUGUCACUUUUUUCUGUCCCCAUCCACCACUUUCUCCCCCCUCACUAUAAGCCAUCACUGAAUUUCUGCUUGCCUUUUAUUCUGUUUAGCUUUAUAUUUUUAUGCAUAUACGAGUAAAUAUUCUCAUACUUCUAUUUUUGAUACGAAAGAUCGAGCUUAUUCUGCUACAUUUUGCUGUGUUUUUUUUUUUUUUUUUUUCAUUUAAAAAUAUACUGUAGAGGACCUCCUUGGUUGUCCAGUCAUUAAGAAUCCACAUGCCAGUGAAGGGGACACAGGUUGGAUCCUUGGUCAGAGAAGAUCCUACAUGCCAUAGGGCAACUAAUUCCUCAAGCCAAAAAGACUGAAGCCUGCACACCUAGAACCUAUGCUCUGCAACAAGAGGAGCCACCACAGUGAGAAUUCCAUGCAUGGCAACUAGAGAAAGUACAUGUGUAGCAAUGAAGACCCAGCACAGCCAAAAAUUAACUAAUUAAUUAAAUUAUAUAUAUAGGUAUAUAUACCAAAAUAUUUAUAUUUAAUACCUAUAUGUAUUACUCAAUGAAACUCAGCCAUGCCCCUGGGGCCACCCAAGAUGGGCGGGUCAUGGUGGAGAGGUCUGACAGAAUGUGGUCCACUGGAGAAGGAAAUGGCAAACCACUUCAGUAUUCUUGCCUUGAGAACCCCAU